AGGAGGAACAACCAUGGUGGCGGUGGCAGGUCUGGAAACCCGGAUUCAGCCCCCACAGGAACUCUGAAGCGCUCUGCCUGCAGGGCCUGGAGGCUCUGGGGGGCG
rnacentral:pre_miRNA from 1 species